UGCAAACAUGCCAACACACGUGCGGGGUUCACAUCAGGAGGGGUGGCCUCGGGGACACCACCACACCCCAGCCCCACCUGGAUGGGGCAAGAAAACCCUACGAGACAACUCGGGAUAUAGCAGAAGUGCUGUCCCCAGGUCACCCUCUUUGCCAACCUUCCUGAAUCAAACUCUGUGCUUCCUCCACUGCCCUCCAGAGAAACCUGAAGCCUCAGCCUGAUGAGCCAGCUCCCUCAUCUAGCCCCACUCAGCCUUUGCUGUCUCACGUCCCCCCACUGCACGCUCACCCCGCACACGCCUGGACACCCCACCACAGGCUGUGCAUGUCCUUUCUCUCCUUCAACACUUAGAAUUCUGCUCGUCCUCAAGAGAUCAGUGGAGGCCUUCUCAAGACCUCAGAGACUCAGUUCCUCCUUCCUCCACGUGCCCUGAGCACUGUGCUGGUUCCAGCACUCCUCACAUUGCUGGCCCUCAGGAACCACCUGCCAGGUCGACCUACAGAAACUCCAGCUGGUGACCUUCGUGGAGGAGAAGAGGCGCGUCCUGCCAACAGCUCUGUCCCCGGCAGAUGCCCCGCAGAGAGCCCUUCCCGCAGGCGGCCUUACCAGGAGGAAGUUGGCAUUGACGUAGUCCGAGUGGGGCUCUCCCUCCAGUGGGGCCAGCCGCACCAGGGAGUGGUCAUCUGCACAGGGCGAAGCCGAGCGGUCAGAGCCUGGCACACGCAGCCCCUCUGGCCCGCCGCCCUGGCCCGGCGCUCACAGGGCAGCUCGUGUGGGUAAUGGUUCUUGGCGGUGUUGGCGGGGGGCUCGGCCUCCAGUCUGGGCUGUUACUUGCCCACCUCCUUCAGCUCCUGCAGAGAUUGGGGGCAGGUGCUGGGGGCUGACCCCACCCUAGGAGAGGGGCAGGGGCCGUGCACAGCUGGGAGAUCCCCCCCACCUCCAGGGCAGGUCCAGGCCCCCUAGGUGCCUGCGGCCCUCCCUGCUCUGGGCCUGAGGACCCCCGAGGCCGUACCUCAAACUCCUGGAAGAAAGCCUGGUGGGCAUGCACGCUCUUGGCCUCGUAGCUCUGCCAGAAGCUGUGGACGGGGAUCGGCCAGUGGGAGCACCUGGCGGGAGGAGGGGGAGAGGGCCCACGGCCUGGUGUGCAGUCCCGCCCUGCGCCCAGGUGGGUAGUGGGGAC
rnacentral:lncRNA from 1 species